rnacentral:rRNA from 1 species
GACAGAGGUGCCAAGCGUUAGGCGGAAUCACUGGGCUUAAAGCGUGUGUAGGUGGAUUUGUAAGUACCUUGUGAAAUCCCAUGGCUCAACCAUGGAACUGCUCGGUAUACUGCUUUUCUUGAGCCACUUAGGGGCUGUCGGAACAAACGGUGGAGCGGUGAAAUGCGUAGAUAUCGUUUGGAACGCCAACGGUGAAAACAGACAGCUGGGAGUGUGCUGACGUGAGACACGAAAGCCAGGGGAGCGAACGGGA